UACACUUUGAGGACUAGUUGCUUUCUUUUCACACUGUUUGGGAAGAGAGAGUUCCAAACUUCUCCUAAGUUGUCAGGACAAGCUCUGCAGCUGACUCAGGACUAUUUGAAGCAGCUGCUUGCAAAGAAGUAUUUGGGAUCGGUAAAUAAGCACUAACAAAAUGCAGAAGAAGUUACUUCAGCUUCCCCCCUCCCCACACACCAUAAUUUUGUAAGUGAAGGAUGUAGAACAGUAUUACAUUAAGCAAACUGGCCAGAAGCUUCCCUGGUGCUUCAGCAGUCGGCAAUGAAGAAUGGAAGAUAAACAACUUUCCAGCACAUUCUGCUGCCUGUCACAAAGAGACCGUAACAACCUUUUAUUCUGCUGCUGCGGCGAACUGCGGCCAGUGCUGAACCUGCGGACGUGGCAGAUCGUGAUUCCUGAAAGUUGACAAGGAAACCAUCCAGCAAAGGAACAAAGACUUCUCCAACGUCCGAUACUACCAUCAUCUGAGGCUGA